AUGAAAAGUUGUGCGGAGGAUCAGAAACGUAUGCGCGCCGUCUGCUACGAAAACAUCGCCGUCAAGGUACAGUGAAUGCUGACCGGCGGAUGAAGUGUAGGGCAGCAGAAACAUCUCGGUCCCCAUCUACUCAAUUGAGCCCUUCUCCUCCAUCCCCUCCUAGCUCGAUGGCGGAAGGCGAAUCAAUGGCGGCGGCGAGCAGUAUGGCGGAGUUUCCAGACCUACGCCACAACGGGCUCGAAUUUCUGCUGGAUCCGGUUGACAGGGGAAGCCUGAGCAACAGAAUAACCGGUCUUGCCAGUGCGAAUGCAAUGGAAUGAUCAGAUUACUUAGAGCUGCAGACAAUGAUGGUUCAUUGCUAACACCGGUCAAGCCACAACCAUUCGUUGUCUCUUACUUGCGGUGAGAAAGUUCAUUGGCCAUCGCACAAGCACAUACUCCCUCUGUACCGAAAUACUUGUAGUUGGGGGAACUUGUACUAGUUUCCCCCAACUACAAGUAUUUCGGUACAGAGGUAGUAGAUGUGUGCACAAAGGAUUUGGUGAAGCAGCUUAGGGCGAACAAUGUGAACUUGAACAAGGUGUACAACAUAGUUGGCAGCUUUUCGGCUCAACCCAAAAUGUGCCUUUCACAAAGCGGACGCUGCGCAAUCUGUGUGGCCGGAUAAGUCGAGACCAGGCUGACGAUGAUGUAAAUAAGACACUAGCUGUGUUCAGAGAGAUGCAGCGGAACGAUCCAGAAUUUACCUACCGAGUACAAGGUCAUGAGGAAAGCAGGAUCAAGCGAGAUAACUAUGUUGUUCUAUGUGCAAAUUUUAGAUCAAGCGAGAGCCAUGGAAGUUGCAAUCAAGACGGAGUUACCCGGGACUGUGCACACCUACUCGGCGGCCCUGAUGGUACGGUCGGCGGCGCGCGUGGAUGUUCUUCCUCCACCGACUCCCUCACGCACCCCGGUGGAAGCUGCCCCAUAGUUGGGUCAGCCGUUUCUCCACCAUGUCCCUCCCAAGCUGAAGAUGGUCUUCCUCCCCUGCCUCCCUCGAACACUGGAGCUGUUGUUCGGUCGCCGUCCACAUCCGCAAGGCCCCCAUCAAGAUCCUCCAAGAAUGAAGGGCCCCAAGAGGAACUAGCUGCAACUACGAGUGAAAGCCACAUCAAGAUCCUCACCAAGAAACAAACGAUGCUGCAGGCACAAGUCUUAGAAAAAUGAACAAGGCGGUAUUGGUGGUUUGUUAGAACUGAACCUUUGAAUCCAGUGAGAACCAGGAUGCAGGUAUUUUGAGUCCAGUGAGAACGGAACCUUUGAAUCCUUUUUUCAGGGCACUGUUCAGAUUCUUCUGAUAGGGCCUAGUUAGUGCUAAAAGCAUACAAUCAUGUUGGGGUACUUGUCAAUUGUCAUAAAGUUCCUGUCAUGUCAAUCCAUUCAGAAAACAAUUGCAGAUUUAUGCAGCUGAUCAGACCGUAAACUUUGCUAAUUAUUCGCAGAGCGACAACUUGACAGCUUUCUCUUUCCUUGAUCAUCUCAUUGCAAUUGCUCGGGAACUUGCACAACAUACAGUAGAUUUCUAUCUCGUAUCUUACUCUAGUUUUCUAUAUGCCUUCUUAAAGCUGCUGGGAAAUUGUCAAACUAAUAGCUAACUUGGAAAAUAGUAAGAUUGGAAUCAGUAUAAUGCCCGACGCUUGAGGGGGAGACCGGUGUUCUGAACUUAAUUGCUUUUCGCACCUAACAGGUAAAUAUGUGAGAAGUUUAACUGUCCAUAUCAAUCUUAGUCAUACUUGUAAAAGUCUUUUUGAGGUAGUAGCCAUAUUAAACCACACAUCCUUUUCACUUCAAGAACGAGUGCAAACCUUUCAAAUUAUACAGCAGCCGAUAAAAAGAAAGAUAUACACGAGUUAAAAUAUAAGAUCCUACUACACUUCAUUCAAAGCUCUUCUGCUAACUAAACUGCCUUUUGUGAAGACAUAGUAUAGUCAAGCAUUCAUAUGGUGAUUUCCAAGUACAGAAUUAACUCUGAAUUCACAUCCUAGAAGAGAAACGAUCUCCAAACCUCAUGCUCUAAUUAAAUUUGGUUUGCACAAGUAAUUAUUUACCAACUGGAUUCAAAUAUGUGAGCAUGGCCAUCUGUCUACAAUAUUUUCGAUUAUGCCAAUGCAUUAGUUCUAUUGUUCGUCUCACUGACAAUCAACCUAUUUCUGUUUUG